rnacentral:tRNA from 1 species
GUUAAAGUGGCUGAGUUUUAAGCAAUGGUUUGUAAAUCCAUAAACGGAAAUCUCCUUCCCUUUAAUA